GACGAACGCUGGCGGCGUGCUUAACACAUGCAAGUCGAACGCUGAAGCCCAGCUUUUGUUGGGUGGAUGAGUGGCGAACGGGUGAGUAACACGUGAGUAACCUGCCCCCUUCUUUGGGAUAACGCCCGGAAACGGGUGCUAAUACUGGAUAUUCACUGGUCUUCGCAUGGGGGUUGGUGGAAUGGGUUUUUCUGGUGGGGGAUGGGCUCGGGGCCUAUCGGCUUGUUGGUGGGGUGAUGGCCUACCAAGGCUUUGACGGGUAGCCGGCCUGGGAGGGUGACCGGUCAGAUUGGGGCUGAGAUAGGGCCCAGACUCCGACGGGAGGCAGCAGGGGGGAAUAUUGCGCGAUGGGCGCAAGCCUGGUGCAGCGACGCCGCGUGAGGGGUGGAGGCCGUCGGGUUGUGAUCCGCUUUCGAUCAUGGUCAAGCCGGUACAAAGGUUUGAGUGAGGGUAGUGGGUAAAGAAGCACCGGCUAACUACGUG
rnacentral:rRNA from 1 species